CACAAGCAGUACUCUGCAUGGGUGUGAGUGUUUAUUCCAAGUGUGCAACCAAGUGUGCAACCAAGUGUGCAACCAAGAUUAACCUCUAUGUUAAACAAUCAAUCUUAUUAACUUCAGUCAUGGUUGUUCCUGUUUAAGUUUUCUGUUGAGAUAAAAAUCUGUUGUGACCAGGCCAAGAGGCACCAUUGAAGGUUAAUCCAACACAGAUGGAGGGUGGUUUGGGGGCUGGAUUGUCAUCAGUGUAAAGUGGCACUGUGUGCCAUGACCACAAGGGGGCAGACUCUAAUACUGAAAUAUGCAAAGGUUUUAGCCUUCAAGGAGGAAAAAAAAAGUAGAAAACGAAAGGAAAAUUAGUUGAAGGUUUUGUGAUCAGCUUGCUCUUCCCCUCAGUAGGCCGUUCAGCGCCAUCAUGUCAUCUCACGGUCCAGCAAUGGAGCUGUCAGUGCUGACUACAGAGAGAUCCCACCCUGCCAGACUCAGCGCCCCUCCCUGCACUGGGUGGAUGGCUGUGAGGCUCGGAAGUUCGGCUCUGGGGCCCAAGGAGAAGCGAGGAGCCCCUGAGAGCCUGAUGUGACCGUGACGAAGCGCUCCUCACAGCUGUCACAGAGCCUGAAAUGAAGAACAUGCCCACAACGCCAAAUAUGUUCCUGUUGUUUUAUCUUUCAAAGUAAAAAAUAUGAGACAGGGUGCCCUAGAGGGUGAGCUCUAUGUGAAUUAAAUAUAAUUGGAGAAUCUCAAUCAA